rnacentral:rRNA from 1 species
UACGAAGGGGGCUAGCGUUGCUCGGAAUGACUGGGCGUAAAGGGCGCGUAGGCGGUUCGUACAGUCAGACGUGAAAUUCCCGGGCUCAACCUGGGGGCUGCGUUUGAUACGUGCGGGCUUGAGUUCGGAAGAGGGUCGUGGAAUUCCCAGUGUAGAGGUGAAAUUCGUAGAUAUUGGGAAGAACACCAGUGGCGAAGGCGGCUCACUGGCCCGGUACUGACGCUGAGGCACGAAAGCGUGGGGAGCAAACAGG